UCUCUUCGCAGUUUGGCUCUGGUGGGUGUCAGGAGUGCUGGGAGCAGCUGCUCCAUCUCUCGCCUGACUGCAGCAGCUCGUCUGCUGUAUUGCAGUGAAAUGGGAGAAAGAGCAGCUCUAAGUGAGCGCUCUCUCUCCCCACAGUGAGCGGGAAAGGUGUUCCACUGCCCCUGCCCAUGCCUGGGGGGAAGCCUAGCAUGAGGUGGCCUCUCUCCCUGCCAGCAGUGAAGCUUUUGUCCGAGUUCUCCCCCUGGAAAGAAGCCUCCAGGAGACCGGAGAGUCCAUGUUUGAAACUGCUGAAGAAUAACGUAGGGAAGAAUCUGGCAGAAGACGUCUCUGGGGGACAUUGACAGCCCUGCAGGAGACCACAGCCUUUGCAGAAAAUCUCCAAGACUUACCAAAGGUUGAGAGUAAGAGGCUUUUGAGAUUCACUUGGUGAAGCGAGGACAGGGAGGCCAUAUCUGUUAUCACCAUGUCUAUUAUACAUUGCCAAGAAAAAACCCCAAAAACCGCUGUGGCUCUCUGGAUGACUAGUGUGCAUUAUGUGAUAAACUGUGAAAAUUUUGAUUGUGUAAUUUGAAAUGAAAUGCUUUGAU